AUUGAACGCUGGCGGCAGGCCUAACACAUGCAAGUCGAGCGGCAGCGGGACCUUCGGGUUGCCGGCGAGCGGCGGACGGGUGAGUAAUGCCUAGGAAUCUGCCUGUUAGUGGGGGAUAACGCGGGGAAACUCGCGCUAAUACCGCAUACGUCCUACGGGAGAAAGUGGGGGACCUUCGGGCCUAACGCUAACAGAUGAGCCUAGGUCGGAUUAGCUAGUUGGUGGGGUAACGGCCCACCAAGGCGACGAUCCGUAACUGGUCUGAGAGGAUGAUCAGUCACACUGGAACUGAGACACGGUCCAGACUCCUACGGGAGGCAGCAGUGGGGAAUAUUGGACAAUGGGCGAAAGCCUGAUCCAGCCAUGCCGCGUGUGUGAAGAAGGUCUUCGGAUUGUAAAGCACUUUAAGCCGGGAGGAAGGGCUGUAGGCGAAUACCCUGCAGUCUUGACGUUACCGGCAGAAUAAGCACCGGCUAACUUCGUGCCAGCCGCCGCGGUAACAC
rnacentral:rRNA from 1 species